GAGACCCACGCUCUAGGUUUCACAAUUCCGACGGGAGGCAAAUUGAAUGGGCGUCCACAAGUAGAAAUUUGACGAUGGUAGUGGUCGAUCGAUUACUCACAGGCUUAUGAACGAAACGGAAAUAGCGAAUGCAGGAGGAGUCCAAUGGAUGUCGGUCGUAUACAGACUGAGGAAGUGUCUCCGGAGUCGACGAGUCCGAAGCAUCGAGUUCGUGCUCCGUCUCGUACUGCUGUGAGUUGCGAAGGAAGGAGACUCGAUGGCUGCUGAUCUUUCGUGGAUCGAUUCGAAAUCGGUGAUGGCCUCCGGAGUUCGACUUAGGCCGAAGAAGGGGAAGGGGAAAGAAGCAGCGACGCUUCUGUGGGGUUGGUGAAAGUGAGUGAGAAGCGAGGGCAAAGGAGGUCUCGGUCUUUGGCCGGUCGCGAAGGCCGUUAACAGGCGCUGAUCAAGAGUGUUUGGGGGUUGUGCUCGGAGGAAGAUGAAGAGGAGUCUUGCUCCGACCGAUAAGGGGUUCUUUUCCAUUUUGUUUUUGUUUGAAUAUUUGAUAGAAAUCACAGGAAGGAAUUUGUGUUUGGUUUGAUGUUUAAUAGGAAAAUAUGAAGGAUGAACAUAUGGAAGUUGUUCUUUUUGGUUGGUCAGCAACAGAAGAAGAACAGAGAAGAUGCAGAUGGAAAUCAAAAGAUAGAGAUAGAAGAAGGAGUAGAGUGUUAGGGAUUUUUGGUUAACUUGUAGUGUUCAAUUUUGGUCAAGUAUCCAUUUUUUUUUUCAUUGUACUGGUUAUACUCAAAAGUAUUUGGAUAAUUUUGAUAAUAAGUUCCAUAUCAUACAUGUAUUUGAGUAUAUAUUAAUGUACAUUAUUAAUUCUUUAA